GUAAGAUUUGUAUAUUAAAAAUACAUUCACAUUAAAAACAAUUAAUUAGAUAAUUGGUUUAUAAUAAGGAUACCUUUUGCAUAAUGGUAUAACUAUAUAGAUAAAUUAAAUAAUUCUUCACGAAUAUAAAAGAGCUAACUUGCCUUUUAUUUUAGUAUAGCUUUUUAUAUUAUAGCAUUAAUAUAAUGAGAAGGUUAGUUAGGGGCGAAAGGCUUCCAAUUAUAUAGAUAUCUUGAUAGUCUUGAAAGGUAUUAAGUACUUUAGCAAAUAAUAGAAUUAUAAGAUUCUGUUAUAAAAAUAAUUUUAAGAUAUUGAGUUAAAUUACUAGAAAUAAUUUUUAAGUAGUUUAGUUAUUUUAAAAUAAAAUAUUAAAUCUAUUUUUUAAAAUAAAGACUUAAGUUUAACAAUCAAGCUUAACUUUAAUAAUGUUAUAAUAAGUAGUAAAAUAUAGUUUAAAUAAAGGAACUCGGCAAAAGCGACAUUGGACUGUUUAACAAAAACAUAACUUGUGGUAUAAUAUCAUAAGCUACGCCUGCUCAAUGAUAUGUUUAAUAGCCGCAGUACUUUGACUGUGCUAAGGUAGCAUAAUAAUUUGGCCUUUAAUUGAGGUCUGGAAUGAAAGGAUUUACCUAAUGUCUGCUGUCUUUAUAAUAAAUAAUAAAAAAUUACUAAGUAGGUGAAAAUUCCUACAUUUUGCUAAGAAAGACGAGAAGACCCUUAGAUCUUUAAUAAGAUAGUUUAAAGAAUAAUCUAAAAGUUUUAGCUGGGGCGGCAGCGUAUCAAAUUAAACAUACGUAAAUAGAUCUAUAAAUUCACCUAAAAAUAUUAAAAAUAAUUAAGAUACCUAAGGGAUAACAGCAUUAUUAUUUAAAUACAUUGUGACCUCGAUGUUGGACUAGGAAACUUAAUAUUAAGACGAAAUUAAGUAAGCUUCUGUUCGAAGAAUCUCUCCUACAUGAUCUGAGUUCAGACCGGCGCAAGCCAGGUCAGAUUCUAUCUUCUUUAUAAAAUUGUUAGUACGAAAGGAUUACAAUUUUUAAUAUUCUAUUAAAAAUUAUAAUUUAUUCUUCUUAAUUUUAAGUUAAUAAGUAGAUAAUAACUAUCAAUUUUGAUUUGUACUUGUUAUUUUUAUAAUAAUUUAUAUUUUAAGUUCAUAAUAUUGAUUUUAU
rnacentral:rRNA from 1 species